UACGUAGGGUGCAAGCGUUGUCCGGAAUUAUUGGGCGUAAAGAGCUUGUAGGCGGUUUGUCGCGUCUGCUGUGAAAUUUCGGGGCUCAACCCCGAACUUGCAGUGGGUACGGGCAGACUAGAGUGUGGUAGGGGAGACUGGAAUUCCUGGUGUAGCGGUGAAAUGCGCAGAUAUCAGGAGGAACACCGAUGGCGAAGGCAGGUCUCUGGGCCGUAACUGACGCUGAGGAGCGAAAGUGUGGGGAGCGAACAGG
rnacentral:rRNA from 1 species